GCUGCCUGGGCAGGGACUACAUCUCUGGGCAUUCCUUACACUGAACCGACUGCUACUUAUCAUUUAGUUGUCACCAACAAAAUGAGUGGAAGGGAAGCCUAUGGGUGAAUUUGAGCAGGCAAAUGACUUCAUAGUGUAGGAAGCCCAGCUGCUGGAUUCAAAGCCAGCUCAAGUAGUGUAGCAGACACUGUGGUGUCCUGGUCUAGCCCCUCACCUGACCCCUUCAGUGCACAUCUGCCUGACUACCACUGCCUGCCCUGCAUCCCUUUCCUGAGGUCUCUCUCUGGCCCU
rnacentral:lncRNA from 1 species